rnacentral:rRNA from 1 species
CCUACGGGAGGCAGCAGUGGGGAAUAUUGCACAAUGGGGGAAACCCUGAUGCAGCGACGCCGCGUGAGUGAAGAAGUAUUUCGGUAUGUAACGCUCUAUCAGCAGGGAAGAAAAUGACGGUACCUGAUUAAGAAGCCCCGGCUAACUACGUGCCAGCAGCCGCGGGAAUACGUAGGGGACAAGCGUUAUCCGGAUUUACUGGGUGUAAAGGGAGCGUAGACGGCAGCACAAGUCUGGAGUGAAAUGCCGGGGCUUAACCCCGGAACUGCUUUGGAAACUGUGCAGCUAGAGUGCAGGAGAGGUAAGUGGAAUUCCUAGUGUAGCGGUGAAAUGCGUAGAUAUUAGGAGGAACACCAGUGGCGAAGGCGGCUUACUGGACUGUAACUGACGUUGAGGCUCGAAAGCGUGGGGAGCAAACAGGAGUAGAUACCCCUGUAGUC